rnacentral:lncRNA from 1 species
AGCUACAACAAGCUGAUGUUUGGGCAGGGGACAAGUAUAACAGUCGUUCCAAGGAGCCUGCCUGCAAGCUUUCCCCAGGAGGUUUUUGUUAGAGGGUGUAUGGCUGUGGCAAUAACAACGACCUACGCUUUGGAGCAGGGACCAGACUGACAGUGAAAGCAAGUAAGUGAGGGGAGCGGGUCAAUCUGAAAGGCUGGCCUGAGCAGCACUGCUGUUCCAUGCAGUUCUGAGGGCUUAAGACACUGCCUCUCCCAAGAGGGUGGAUCCACCUAGUUUCUUUGUACCCGAGCUGGUUGGAAGUCUGUUUGUUGGUGAAUUCUGGCAAUCCUAGGAAUUAAGUCAUGAAAAAGUAGAGAGUUCACCAGUUUCUUCAUUGGCUCUGGGUAUAUAGAAAAGCUAACAAUAAUGUGCAAGGCCAUAUUCUGUAAGAAGACCAAGGAAAAAUAUCUAACAGCUCAAAGAUCAGGUUUUCCUUGUUAAGACCCUCUCCUUCCCAAGAGUACUGUCAGCUCUUUGGUUGGGGCUUUUUAUUGGGUUUUGUUGUUGUUAUUAUUUGUAGGAACUAUGAAAGUGGCAUGGUCCCUAGUCCCCAGAAUAGCUCCUCUCUGACCCCCUCUGCUAGAUGGCAUGUCUCUGCCUAACCUUGCAGUGGUCCCAGGUGUCUCAGGCAUGAGUCAGCCAUUGGAACCCAGUGUUCUGGAAGCAAAACUAGUGGUUUUAGAUCAAGCUCCGAUCUGUCUGCACAGCCGACUGUUAUUUUUAGAGGAAUGUCUUAUCCCUGCCAAGGAGCUGGGAGCUGAGGCUGCAGAGUGCUGAGACUUCCACUAGAGGGGAAAGCGGUCUCACUUGUUCGGGGUCCCCCUCCAUCCUUCCCACCCACUGAUUAUUGUAAGGCCCUGUAUGACUGUGUGAAUUUUGGAGGCCAAGGAAAGCUGACCUUUGGAAAAGGCACUAUGGUCUCCGUUAAACCAAGUAAGUGUUGGGGGUCUCAGAGACGAAUCAGUGAGUGCAGCUAAAGCACAACCCAGAGUGAAGGAGCAGAAAUUCACCAACCCCUUUCUCUGUGGUGUCCACCCACCCUUCACCCAUGAGCCCAUAGAGCUGCUCCUGGACCAGGCCCCUGGCUGUCCUCAAUUGCCUCUGCUGGAGGUAGGAAGCCACUGGGCUUCAUAAGGUGUCACAGGGCUCCCUUCCCAGGAUGGCACUUCUCAGAAGUGCUCACCCAUCUCGCUGUGGUGAAUGGGUUACCUUCUCAGCAACAUUCUCAUGGAAGACAGCCGUGGAUGACCCACCCUCUGUGUGACAGUUGUGUGAUGGGUGUUUAGACAUUAGAUUGAAUGGGGGAUCACGUAAGGAACAGAGGCAGAGUGGCUACUGAGGGGGGUUUUGGUUUAGGGAAAAUGCACUGUGGUACUCAGACACCGGCUAUGCACUCAGCUUUGGCAUAGGCACCACACUGCUGGUCACACCCGGUGAGUUCUUGCGGGUAACUCAUUAUCCUUUCUGGAAAGAAAUCCAAAGGGACCUGUUGAAACACAACUGAAUUUAAUUGCUUCGUUUAGUGUGCAGUUGUUAACUAUGUCGGAUGUGUGAGCAAGAUAAGAAGACGCGUUUCCCUGGGGGCUGGAUCUGGUUAUCAGUUCUGUGGGCAGUUUGAUAGAUUGUAUUAAUACUGUAGUCAGUGUUUCUUGAAGGUCCACAAAGCACGUGGAAGCUUUGGGAAAGAGGCAGAGAUAAGAGGCAGAAAAGCUUUGCGACAGAGAAACAAACUAGUGGAAAGGGAGGCUACCAAAGCAGCUGCGUGUUGCCGCGGAAGCGUGUCCCUAACAGAUUAAGUGCUGUAGACCCAGUUGGGUUUGGGCCGUGUCCCCUGGUAGAACUGGAAAAUCUGGCACAUGGACCGAGGGCUUGGGUGAGGGGUGAGCAGCAGGAGCUACAAGAGAGAAAAGUGGAACAAUACAAAUUUCUCUGGAGAGAGGACCAUGGCAGUGGAAGCCCCCUCUUCACUCCAGGGACAAAGUAGUUCCCCACAGGGACUUCUCCCCUGCACCCAGGUUGGCUGAGUCAACCCUGCAGCAGCGGCAGGGAACCCCGGUACCUUAGAGACCCCUUCCCCCCCCCACCCCGCCGCCGCCGCCGCCACUGGAUUAUCUGUGAUACAGCUGAAUGUUUGAGUUGUGAAGGUGUCAGGGAGAGGGGAAGAGAGAUGGAUUAGAGACAGCAAUAUUGAGAAUUUACAGGUUAUCUCCACACUUGCAGAGUUCAGCGUGUGGGGGUUUGGGUUUUGGCUUGUUGUUGUUAGAAUUGCAGAAACUGGGCUGCUUUCCACGCAGGCGCACUCUUUGCAGAAAUUCACCGCAGAAAUCUCACUCUCAGUAGGAUUUUGUCAACCAUCCCCUGUGCCUGAACCAGGUGUGGCAAUAAGGUAACGGGGCUGAUUUGUUAACGAAUGGAGUUUAUACAUUUAAAUGUCAAACCACUCAGCCCGAAGAGGCACAGACUUCCGCCCCACCUCCCACCGCAGCCCCGGCCUCUCUACUGCCCACCUCUUCUUUUGAAUCUGCCCUCCAAGGGCCUGGCACAUUCUUUUCGUUAGCUUUAUCUUUUGAAGGUAGAUUUCAUUUUUAUGAAUAAUCCAAAGGCCCUCAGAGCCAUGACUUAUAAAUAAAAGAGGGAUUCAAACUAAUUACUGGCACUGUUUUGGUUCCCCAAAAUGGAGUGUGACCAUAAAAUAAUGUCAUUAGAGUGUUUGCAUGGCCCCUAACUGCUUCUCAGAGAGAGUCCUAAAAGGGAGGACUUCGAAAGAUUCAGCCAUCAUUCAGAUGUUUAAAUCCUGACAUGUUUGUUCAAAUAGCCUCUUUACUUAAUAAACACGCUUAAGAUAAACAUAGCAUGAGAUAGAGGAAGUUUUGCAAGCCCGGACCUCAUCAAAGCACAGAGACUUUCAGUAUGAACUGAGCUAUUAUCCCAAGUAAAGCCCAUGUAGAAAAACACGAGGUCAAAACCUUCUGAUGGCAAAAGUGCCUACAAUAUCCUAAUUGACAGCAAAGCUACCCCGAGAAAUGGUAACCCUAUGGAAGUUUAUGUAGAGACACAUAGCACUGUGACUCAGGAAGCUUCAAAUACAUCUUUGGAGCAGGCACAAGGCUACAGGUUUUACCAAGUGAGUAUUGCAACCAAGACAAUUUUAAAUGUUAUUGGUGUCUGACAGGCAAGGGCAGGUAAAAUAAGCGAAAUACUUGCUAUAAACCAUGGAAGCAAAAAUCACAGCUGUCUGAGGUGGCCAUUCUUGGCCCCUCUGCUCUGGUCAGGAGGGGUGAAGGAGAGCUUGGAGGUUCACUGGGAUCAACUUACCACCAGUUUCAUAAGAAUUAGACUAGUUACGAGAAAAUAUUUGUUAGGUAAAGAAAGACUUUGAGAGACUCCUCUGGACAGAGGAAUUUUUUUAAAACUGUGCUACUCUCAUUCCACAUUUUUCACUCACUUUACCUAUACUUCUUUGUCCAACUCAACACUUCAUCUAGACAUGCAUGUUUUGAGAAACCAUCAGGUCCACUUCUGAGCCUCUCUAGAAUCUGCACCCUUUCUGUUCUCCAAAUUCCCUUUCUCAAAUGCUCUGUUCUGGGCAAACUGGACACCUACUUCUCCUGCCUGCUUACACAUGCCCACACCUGUACCUGUGUCCAUAAAUCAGACACCGUGGACGAAGCACUGAAGACAGACUAGCAAUACGUGAAACAAAUUGUUACUCAGCCUCAAGACCCAGCACAGAUGUCACCAGAUUUAACUUUACAGGGAGAACUCGAGAAACUAUAUUCCUUUUUAAAAAUUAGGGAGGCUCAGGUAAGAGAUCCAGCAGGCAAAUAGCAAAGUAGGAAGGGAGGAAAUGCUUCCAUAACAGAUGUGGGAAGGAGGGGUGGGUCCAUGGAAAGAUAUUCUCUGGUGGAGAAACAAGACCAACUAAAUCCAAGUAGGAAGUUUAUGGGCUGCCAUAUUGCCUGCAUGUUCCUUGUUUUGCCUCUGGAGUGGUCCAUUCCCAAUUGUUGGUCAUUAAGCGCCUGGCCCUCCAGCUGGCCAGAGUUGGGGAAGAGGGAGAAGACCAUGCUGUAUACUCGGCAGUGGUGCCCAUGGUAUUUCCUUCCAGACUUUCCUUCAAGCUACCUCAAAAUUAAGAGAUGUCCAAAAGGAUCACCUAGAUAGGAUGGAAGAAGUUUCCUGUAACAGAAUGAUUUCAGGUUAGUCCUUGAGUUGUGUUAUCUCCUGGGAAAGGGCCAGUGAGAAUGGAAAACUCUCCACUAGGACAAAGAAAGGAUGAAAAUCUUUAUCCUGGUGACCAUCUAAGCUGGGGAUGAACAGGUUUGCAGCUGGAAUUGGGGUGAACUCCAGAGCUGACCUAUGCCUGCAACUCUCUCUAGUUCUGCAGAAUAAGAAAAGGUAUUUAGAUGUUCCAGAGCCUGGACCUCGGUCAGAGGUGUCUGGCUCCAGCACCCUGAAGGGUGGCCCAACAUGCCAACCCCUCUUGCCAGGUGGGCAGUGGCAGCUGCCCUCAGUCUCCUCCAUCGUGGUGACAGUCUCUCUGACUGCUUUGUCUUUGGUGCCAUGGGCAUAAACUGUUCCUACUUUUCCAAAUCAAGUAUGUGAUCUUCAGGACCCCUGGAGCAUUAUUGUCUAAAACACCAGAGGAUAACUAGGGUUUUGGCAGUCAGUACUCUGGGCUUGUGCAGGAAAACUCCUUCUUUAGAACAUUUAGAAAGAAUAUCCUCCAUUCAUUCAAUGUGGAAACAGUCCUGAAAAUCCAAGCUGGUGCUAGGAUUCUGUGCCAGGUUAUUACUGUGACAAUUACUUAAUAUUCUCUGUGCUCACGGUAUCGCUUCUUCCAGAAGAUCUUUAGGGAAAACUUAGUUGGGUUUCUAGGAGGUUUUUGCUGAGCUGAAGAUCACUGUGUGAAUAAUAACGCAGGCAAGGCGUUUACAUUUGGAGGGGGAACAAGGUUAAUGGUCAAACCUGGUGAGUAUCUCUGCUGAAUCCAUAAUGAAUGCUCUGAUUUCUAAAGGAAGCCAGAGCACUAAGCUUCAUUUGGGGGUUGUUUUCUCCACUCAGUUUUUUUUUUUAAUGUUAAUUCUAAUCAUUAAUCCUAAUGAUUCUACGGUGUAUAUACGUGCCAUGCGUACAUGUGAAAACAGGCACAUAUGUAAUCAUCUGGCAUAGGAACAGAGGAGCUGGAGAAUAAUAGAUUCUUUGCCCUUUUUGUCUUAACCACUUGGGUCAGAAAGUCUGCAUUGAUCUCAGGAAUGGCUGAGCACUGGAGUGGGAGAACCGUAGCUUUGUCAGGAUUCUGCCACUCCUCGAUGGCCUGGGGAGGGGACAGCUCCGUCUGGAGGUUGGGGGAUAAGCUAUUUAACCUCAGAAGAGCCUUUCUGGCCCAACCAUGCUGUGCAUUGACCACGAUAAUAAACACUCUUCCCUGAUGCCUCUCUGGCCAGGGUCCCAGCCGGAGGAGCACGCUGGCUGGAUUUGGGGAUUGAAAGGGAUUUCCUGGUACACAUUGGCCUGGUCGGUUUCUGUAAAGCUUGCUAUGACUGUGUAAUAUUGGCAACAGCCGUAAGCUGAUUUGGGGAUUGGGGACAAGUCUGGCAGUAAAUCCAAGUGAGUACUCAAAUUAACUCUCUCCCUCAAACCUGUCUAUGCAGUUUGAAGUGUCUCAGGAACCGGCUUCUUUAGCCCUCAUGUUUAAUACGUGCAGCCAUGAGCAGUGUUUUUCUCCUCUCCACCCAAGCUGAGCUCCUGCCUACCCCUCAAUCAAAAUACCUAGAGAGGGGGGUCCAGAAGGGCAUGGUCGGAAGGCAGUUGGAAUGUGAGGCAGUCUUCUUAUAGAGCAAACAGGCGGCCCCUUCCAAAAAGAGCCAUCAGGAGGCAUUCAGGUUAGACGAGGUGAAAAUACGCAUCACGUAUCACAGCCUCCUUAGUCCAUCCUGUAUCAGCCUCCCCAUGCGCUGUUGGAAGAUCCUGCUCCCCUCCAGCCAAAGAUAACCCGAGCGCUGCUGGGAAGUGCUGGGACUUAGGGCCACCCAGUGACCUCCCUAAGGAACAUCUCCCCACCAUUAACUCUCCAGAAUGACUCACACUUACCAUCUAAUUUAUGCCUCUCUCAGUUCUCUUUGGCUUACAGCCUUAUGGUGGAUUUAUUAGAAGGAACAGGGAAGGAAUUGGUUUCAUCCUAAUUCUGGCCUCUCCUGAAAAGCUCUUCUCUCCAAGACUCCUCAGGAGCAUCUUAGAGACCACUCGCCCUGCUUAGAACUGUGCUUGGUACAACCAGACUGGGUCUCCUGCAGGGUUUGCUGUGGCUUUGGCAGGGGCCAGCUCCCAGGGAAGUUCUGGAGCCCCAGGCUGGAGCUGGGGGGCAAGGGGGAGAGCUGGUUAAUGCAGUGGAGCCCAGGGGCUUCAGGAAAGACACCUAUGAUAUAGGUGUGAAUGAAUUUCUGAAUGAGCUUCUGUGGGUUAACCUGGUAAGACUCUGCAGGGAGAAGGUCAGCCUUCCCUCUGCCACUCUACAUGUAAGUCAUGAGUUGCAAGAAAAAAUGGGAAACGUCAAUUGCUGUGCCAAAAUGAAGGGACUGGGUAUAAAUACUGAACCAGUUUUAAUGUUAAAUUUAUGAAAUGGAAAACUUUUCUAGGGAACCAGCUCAGGGAACAUUUAUUAGGAUUGAUGAGCUAACUAUUUCAUCAGUGCUACUGGGAUGCGCACUUUAAAGGAGAACUUAGAAUUGUUUCAGGCUAAUGGAAGGUCUAGCCCACUAUAGGUGAAUGUGAAAACUGCCUGGCAAACCCUAACUCUGCUACUUACUAGAUGUGUGGCUGCAGGCAGGUUUUCUAAUCUUUUUACUUCUCUUUAUUCCUCAUUUUUCUUGUCUGUUAAAUGGGGAUGAUAACAGUACCUAGCUCACUGCACUGUUACUAGAUUAGGAGUGAAUACCUAUCAAGGGCCUUGCAUAGAGGCAGCAAAUAUUAGUUGUUGUUACUAGAUCAGGUUGCUGGAGGGGAGGAAGCAAAAACAGCCAUCUCCUUUUAAGUUUUUGUAAGGUGGAGUGUUACAGUGUGGCUCUAGCAACACAGGAAAACUGGUCUUUGGGCAGGGGACAGUGUUACAGGUAAAACCAGGUAGGUCUGAAUGUUUUCAAGUGAGCCAGAAUAACCUGCCACGUUCAUUCUUUGGUUGAUCUUCUCUGCCAAAUUUCUAACCAAAGACUCUUACUUUUAGGUUUUAUUUUUCUUUAACACUAGGAAGGAGGAGGUGUGUAAAGCCUGGCUUAAAUGGUCUUUUCUAACCCAUUUGGUUUCAGCUAGUGACAAAAAAGGGGGGUUGCAGAACUUGAAGUGAGUUGGGUCUGGAAUUUCUUGGUGAAGCCUGACAGAAUGUAAUUUUCUGGGAGACAUAAAAACAUCAAAUGUGAGAGGUGCACAAAAAGUAAAGGUGAUUUUACAUAAUAGCAUGCUGCAGUGGGAACCACCCCAUAGCCACUAGGAUUCUCUAAGAAGCAUCUUUCAAGGGGAAAAUGAAUAACCUAGAAAUGACAAGGUUUUGUUUUUGAAAAAAGAAGAGGGGUGGAGAGACAGGAGACUGUUGGUGAUUUGGAUUUUUUUUUGGUUAAGAAACAUGGAAAACAAGAUUUUCCAUAGAAGGGUGUAUAAAAGGCUCUCACCAAGUAGGAGUCCAAAUGUGUGUGGCACACCCCUAGUGAGCUUCUCAGAGGAAGAAGAGGAGACAGUCCCAGAGUGAAGUGUUUUUGUAUUGGGCAGAAACACUGUGUCAACUACUGGGGCAAACCGGCUUGUCUUUGGAACGGGAACAAGACUCACCAUCAUUCCCCGUAAGUCCUUUGCCACUUGAGAAAAAGCUCUUAAUCUAUAAUGGCCAGCUCUCACCUCCCAGACACCUAAUGAAUUUCUAAAUGAGUUCCUGUGUAUUAACCUGAUAAGACUCUCCAAGGAGAAGGUCACCCUUCUCUCUGCAGCUCUAAAUGUAAGUCGUGUUGUAAAAAGAAAAGGAAAAAAAAAAAAAAAAAAAAA